GGAUGGAGUAAAGAGCUAAGCACUGU
rnacentral:piRNA from 1 species